GGAGAGGUGGUUGAGUGGACGAAAACGCAGCUCUCGAAAAGCUGUAGGGCGAUUACGCUCUCGAGGGUUCGAAUCCCUCCCUCUCCG
rfam:Parcubacteria group bacterium RIFCSPHIGHO2_01_FTLL_47_10b rifcsphigho2_01_scaffold_4217, whole genome shotgun sequence.